UACGGAAGGCAGCAGUGGGGAAUAUUGCACAAUGGGCGAAAGCCUGAUGCAGCUAUGCCGCGUGUAUGAAGAAGGCCUUAGGGUUGUAAAGUACUUUCAUCGGGGAGGAAAAACAAAACUAAUAAUUUUAUUUCUUGACGUUACCCGAAAAAGAAGCACCGGCUAACUCCGUGCCAGCAGCCGCGGUAAUACGGAGGGUGCUAGCGUUAAUCAGAAUUACUGGGCGUAAAGAGCGCGUAGGUGGUUUUUUUAAGUCAGAUGUGAAAUCCCUGGGCUUAACCUAGGAACUGCAUUUUGAAACUGAAAUACUAGAGUAUCGUAGAGGGAGGUAGAAUUCUAGGUGUAGCGGUGAAAUGCGUAGAUAUCUGGAGGAAUACCUGUGGCGAAAGCGGCCUCCUAAACGAAUACUGACACUGAGGUGCGAAAGCGUGGGGAGCAAACAGGGAUUAGAUACC
rnacentral:rRNA from 1 species